rnacentral:rRNA from 1 species
UAGGGAAUCUUCGGCAAUGGACGAAAGUCUGACCGAGCAACGCCGCGUGAGUGAAGAAGGUUUUCGGAUCGUAAAACUCUGUUGUUAGAGAAGAACAAGGACGUUAGUAACUGAACGUCCCCUGACGGUAUCUAACCAGAAAGCCACGGCUAACUACGUGCCAGCAGCCGCGGUAAUACGUAGGUGGCAAGCGUUGUCCGGAUUUAUUGGGCGUAAAGCGAGCGCAGGCGGUUUCUUAAGUCUGAUGUGAAAGCCCCCGGCUCAACCGGGGAGGGUCAUUGGAAACUGGGGGACUUGAGUGCAGAAGAGGAGAGUGGAAUUCCAUGUGUAGCGGUGAAAUGCGUAGAUAUAUGGAGGAACACCAGUGGCGAAGGCGGCCCCCUGGACAAAGACUGACGCUCAGGUGCGAAAGCGUGGGGAGCAAACAGG